rnacentral:rRNA from 1 species
CGUGUUACAAUGGGAGGUACANAAGGCCGCUACCUGGCGACAGGAUGCCAAUCCCCAAAACCUCUCUCAGUUCGGAUUGGAGUCUGCAACCCGACUCCAUGAAGCUGGAUUCGCUAGUAAUCGCGCAUCAGCCACGGCGCGGUGAAUACGUUCCCGGGCCUUGUACACACCGCCCGUCAAGGCCAUGAAAGCCGGGGGUACCUGAAGUCCGUAACCGUAAGGAGCGGCCUAGGGUAAAACUGGUAAUUGGGGCUAAGUCGUAACAAGGUAGC